rnacentral:rRNA from 1 species
AAAAGCUUGCGAGUGCUAAACAUGCAGUCGAGCGGCCGACCCCGUCUCUUCGGGACGGGACAGGUUAGCGGCGAACGGGUGAGUAACACGUGGGUAACCUGCCCCGAAGACCGGGAUAACUCCGGGAAACCGGUGCUAAUACUGGAUACCUUGGCCUCAUCGCAUGGCGAGGUCAAGAAAAGGUAGCUUGCUUCCGCUUCGGGAUGGACCCGCGGCCCAUUAGCUUGUUGGUGAGGUAACGGCUCACCAAGGCUACGAUGGGUAGCCGGCCUGAGAGGGUGUACGGCCACACUGGGACUGAGAUACGGCCCAGACUCCUACGGGAGGCAGCAGUGAGGAAUAUUGCGCAAUGGGCGAAAGCCUGACGCAGCGACGCCGCGUGGACGAUGAAGGCCUUCGGGUUGUAAAGUCCUGUCAGGAGGGACGAAGUGGCUUCGGCCAUGACGGUACCUCGGUAGGAAGCUCCGGCUAACUACGUGCCAGCAGCCGCGGUAAGACGUAGGGGGCUAGCGUUGUCCGGAAUCACUGGGCGUAAAGAGCUCGUAGGCGGUCUGUUUAGUCGGGUGUGAAAGCCCUCGGCUCAACCGAGGAAUUGCAUUCGAUACUGGCAGGCUAGAGUCUAGCAGAGGGAAGUGGAAUUCCCGGUGUAGCGGUGAAAUGCGCAGAUAUCGGGAAGAACACCGGUGGCGAAGGCGGCUUCCUGGGCUAUGACUGACGCUGAGGAGCGAAAGCUAGGGGAGCAAACAGGAUUAGAUACCCUGGUAGUCCUAGCCGUAAACGAUGGGCACUAGGUGUGGGGGGUUACCAAAUCCCUCCGUGCCGAAGCUAACGCAUUAAGUGCCCCGCCUGGGGAGUACGGCCGCAAGGCUA